CAAGAAUAAAAUAAAAUAAACAUUCAAUAAAAACAUACGGACGUUUACAGAGACACGGUCUCUUCAGGGGGAUAAAAUGCAGAUUAUUUGCAGCGUACGUCCUCCGGGUCACGUGUGUGUGUUUUUAUGGUGUAUUUAAAAGGCAUAGUGGCAUCAUCUGCUUCUGUCUGGUUCAUUCUGAUGAGGGGUGAUUUUUAUCUCACUCACACACACACACACACACACACACACACAGGUCUGACUAUCCUCUUGAGGCCUGUAACAGUUCUAUGAGCAUUAAGACACUUGGCUCUGACAUGUGGGCCAACAGGGUGUGUGUGUUUGUAUGUGUGUGUGUUUAUCAUUCCAUCCUCAAGCACUUAUCUCUGUGGCAGCCCUAUUAGGAUGUUUGCUACUCUGCAGUGUAACUUGUUUACAGCACUACAUCUCUAUCGUACAGUUUCCUUUUCAUGUCUAAUUAAAUUCUAUAACCUCGGGUUUAGUCACGUCUCCGUCAUGUCACGGUGCAGUACCGAGGCGCUUGGGAUUUUCCAGCUGUAACACAGACACCUGGGGAACCUGCUCAUUAUGUGACAAGCUACACACACACACACAUGCACACACUCCCGAAUUCAGUCCUUGGAGAGCAUCAGAUUUAUUCUGUUCGAGUUACUAACACCCCUGAGCAGGUAAAGAAUUCAUAGUUCAGAUUUACAGCGACCGUCGUGAAAAGCACAGUGAGACAUGUGCAUGUGAAGUCGUAUGAAAUGUCUGGCAUGUGAUUUUAAGGAUGUGGACACUUUUAUGUGUACUUUUACUUUAACACUAAGUGUUUUGUAGUAGUACUUUAAGUGCCGUUUGUAAUAGUGAUGGGAGACGAUACCACCGAAGAUACGAUUUAGAUUCUCUAUAGACUCUCUACCGCAUGAAUUAUUACACGUACAUGAUAAACUCAGUCGACUGCUAGUGCUGUAUGGCGACAAUGUGCAAUGGUGGAAAGUAUCAUAUAGUCAAAAACAACACAAAAUAUAUGAGGUUACAUUUCCAGUUACUCCAUGUUCCAGACUAUUCUAUACGCUGCAGAGGAGGGUUUUU
ensembl:lncRNA